GGGUUGUGAGGUUAAGCGACUAAGCGUACACGGUGGAUGCCCUGGCAGUCAGAGGCGAUGAAGGACGUGCUAAUCUGCGAAAAGCGUCGGUAAGGUGAUAUGAACCGUUACAGCCGGCGAUGUCCGAAUGGGGAAACCCAGUGCAAUUCGUUGCACUAUCGUUAACUGAAUACAUAGGUUAACGAGGCGAACCGGGGGAACUGAAACAUCUAAGUACCCCGAGGAAAAGAAAUCAACCGAGAUUCCCCCAGUAGCGGCGAGCGAACGGGGAGCAGCCCAGAGUCUGAAUCAGCUUGUGUGUUAGUGGAACGGUCUGGAAAGUCCGACGGUACAGGGUGAUAGUCCCGUACACCAAAAUGCACAGGUUGUGAACUCGAAGAGUAGGGCGGGACACGUGGUAUCCUGUCUGAAUAUGGGGGGACCAUCCUCCAAGGCUAAAUACUCCUGACUGACCGAUAGUGAACCAGUACCGUGAGGGAAAGGCGAAAAGAACCCCGGCGAGGGGAGUGAAAAAGAACCUGAAACCGUGUACGUACAAGCAGUGGGAGCACCUUCGGGUGUGACUGCGUACCUUUUGUAUAAUGGGUCAGCGACUUAUAUUCUGUAGCAAGGUUAACCGUAUAGGGGAGCCGCAGGGAAACCGAGUCUUAACUGGGCGUUAAGUUGCAGGGUAUAGACCCGAAACCCGGUGAUCUAGCCAUGGGCAGGUUGAAGGUUGGGUAACACUAACUGGAGGACCGAACCGACUAAUGUUGAAAAAUUAGCGGAUGACUUGUGGCUGGGGGUGAAAGGCCAAUCAAACCGGGAGAUAGCUGGUUCUCCCCGAAAGCUAUUUAGGUAGCGCCUCGUGAAUUCAUCUUCGGGGGUAGAGCACUGUUUCGGCUAGGGGGUCAUCCCGACUUACCAACCCGAUGCAAACUACGAAUACCGAAGAAUGUUAUCACGGGAGACACACGGCGGGUGCUAACGUCCGUCGUGAAGAGGGAAACAACCCAGACCGCCAGCUAAGGUCCCAAAGUCAUGGUUAAGUGGGAAACGAUGUGGGAAGGCACAGACAGCCAGGAUGUUGGCUUAGAAGCAGCCAUCAUUUAAAGAAAGCGUAAUAGCUCACUGGUCGAGUCGGCCUGCGCGGAAGAUGUAACGGGGCUAAACCAUGCACCGAAGCUGCGGCAGCGACACUAUGUGUUGUUGGGUAGGGGAGCGUUCUGUAAGCCUGCGAAGGUGACCUGUGAGGGUUGCUGGAGGUAUCAGAAGUGCGAAUGCUGACAUAAGUAACGAUAAAGCGGGUGAAAAGCCCGCUCGCCGGAAGACCAAGGGUUCCUGUCCAACGUUAAUCGGGGCAGGGUGAGUCGACCCCUAAGGCGAGGCCGAAAGGCGUAGUCGAUGGGAAACAGGUUAAUAUUCCUGUACUUGGUGUUACUGCGAAGGGGGGACGGAGAAGGCUAUGUUAGCCGGGCGACGGUUGUCCCGGUUUAAGCAUGUAGGCUGGUUAUCCAGGCAAAUCCGGAUAAUCAAGGCUGAGGUGUGAUGACGAGGCACUACGGUGCUGAAGUAACAAAUGCCCUGCUUCCAGGAAAAGCCUCUAAGCAUCAGGUAACAUCAAAUCGUACCCCAAACCGACACAGGUGGUCAGGUAGAGAAUACCAAGGCGCUUGAGAGAACUCGGGUGAAGGAACUAGGCAAAAUGGUGCCGUAACUUCGGGAGAAGGCACGCUGGUGUGUAGGUGAAGUCCCUGCGGAUGGAGCUGAGACCAGUCGAAGAUACCAGCUGGCUGCAACUGUUUAUUAAAAACACAGCACUGUGCAAACACGAAAGUGGACGUAUACGGUGUGACGCCUGCCCGGUGCCGGAAGGUUAAUUGAUGGGGUUAUCCGUAAGGAGAAGCUCUUGAUCGAAGCCCCGGUAAACGGCGGCCGUAACUAUAACGGUCCUAAGGUAGCGAAAUUCCUUGUCGGGUAAGUUCCGACCUGCACGAAUGGCGUAAUGAUGGCCAGGCUGUCUCCACCCGAGACUCAGUGAAAUUGAACUCGCUGUGAAGAUGCAGUGUACCCGCGGCAAGACGGAAAGACCCCGUGAACCUUUACUAUAGCUUGACACUGAACAUUGAGCCUUGAUGUGUAGGAUAGGUGGGAGGCUUUGAAGCGUGGACGCCAGUCUGCGUGGAGCCAACCUUGAAAUACCACCCUUUAAUGUUUGAUGUUCUAACGUUGGCCCCUGACCGGGGUUGCGGACAGUGUCUGGUGGGUAGUUUGACUGGGGCGGUCUCCUCCCAAAGCGUAACGGAGGAGCACGAAGGUUAGCUAAUCCUGGUCGGACAUCAGGAGGUUAGUGCAAUGGCAUAAGCUAGCUUGACUGCGAGCGUGACGGCGCGAGCAGGUGCGAAAGCAGGUCAUAGUGAUCCGGUGGUUCUGAAUGGAAGGGCCAUCGCUCAACGGAUAAAAGGUACUCCGGGGAUAACAGGCUGAUACCGCCCAAGAGUUCAUAUCGACGGCGGUGUUUGGCACCUCGAUGUCGGCUCAUCACAUCCUGGGGCUGAAGUAGGUCCCAAGGGUAUGGCUGUUCGCCAUUUAAAGUGGUACGCGAGCUGGGUUUAGAACGUCGUGAGACAGUUCGGUCCCUAUCUGCCGUGGGCGCUGGAGAAUUGAGGGGGGCUGCUCCUAGUACGAGAGGACCGGAGUGGACGCAUCACUGGUGUUCGGGUUGUCAUGCCAAUGGCACUGCCCGGUAGCUAAAUGCGGAAGAGAUAAGUGCUGAAAGCAUCUAAGCACGAAACUUGCCCCGAGAUGAGUUCUCCCUGAGACUUUAAGUCUCCUGAAGGAACGUUAAAGACGAUGACGUUGAUAGGCCGGGUGUGUAAGCGCAGCGAUGCGUUGAGCUAACCGGUACUAAUGAACCGUGAGGCUUAACCUUACAACGCCGAAG
rnacentral:rRNA from 1 species